UUGGAUCUUGUAUGAAUGGUUGGACAAAAGAAAAUCUGUCUUUAUAUUGUUUAUUGAAUUUAACUUUUAAGUGAAAAGGCUUAAAUAAAUUAAAGGGACGAUAAGACCCUAUAAAGCUUAAUAUUAAUAUUUUACUUGGUUAAAUUUUCUUGUUCAUAAAAACUUAGUAAUUGAAUUUAUUUUAUUGGGGCGAUAAAUGUAAAAUGGCUACUAACUGCUUAAUUUUUUAUACAUUUAUAAAUGAAUUAGGAAAUAAAUGAUCCUUAAUAUAAAGAUUAAAAGUUUAAGUUACUUUAGGGAUAACAGCGUUAUCUUUCUUAAGAGUACAUAUCGAAAGAAAAUUUUGCGACCUCGAUGUUGAAUUAAAAUACCUUUAUAAUUGCAGCAGUUAUAUAAGUAGGUCUGUUCGACCUUUAAAAUUUUACAUGAUUU
rnacentral:rRNA from 1 species